ensembl:lncRNA
AUUGACUCAAAGUUUGCUGAGGAACAAGUCCAGGCAAGUCCUGGGCAAAGGCAGAGAAAUCUUUUGUCUUGAGGACACUGAUGGACAGGUCCUGGCUAAGGAUUGUGAAAUCCUCUAAGGAGCACAGAUGGACAAGGCCAGGGGCAUCGAGAGAGAGAUAAGCUGCUGCUAAUGGCCGGGAAACGGUCUUUUUGUGUGGACUUAUCUCAAGGAAAAUGGCCAUCUCAGGAGAUCCUUCUCUACGGACCGUUUGCUGACGGACUUCCCUGGGCCUGCUACCUGAGACCUGCUGCUUCCUCCCUGACCUGCACCCUCUCGUUGCCCAAGACCGGCCUCGCUGCUCCUGCCCUUCGGCCUCGGACCGUCGGAAUAUCGUGCAACGGGACUGCUGCCGGAUCCUGGUGGUGACUAUCCCCGCUUUACGCAAUUCUUGCCUCUUUCUAUCUUUUCUAUCGCUCGCCUUCCCUUCCCCAUCACCCCAGUCCUUAAUAGUGUCCGUCCUCCCCUUUCCCCAUCUCCCUUAUUAACAUUUGUAAUAAACUGGUCG